rnacentral:rRNA from 1 species
UACAGAGGUCUCAACCGUUGUUCGGAUUCAUUGGGCGUAAAGAGCGCGUAGGCGGCUUUGCAAGUCGGGUGUGAAAUCCCCAGGCCUAACCUGGGAACUGCACUCGAGACUGCAUGGCUAGAGUAUCGGAGAGGGAAGUGGAAUUUCAGGUGUAGCGGUGAAAUGCGUAGAUAUUGGGAGGAACACCAGUGGCGAAGGCGGCUCACUGGACCGGAACUGACGCUGAGGCGCGAAAGCGUGGGGAGCAAACAGG